GACGAACGCUGGCGGCGUGCCUAAUACAUGCAAGUCGAACGGUCUUUUCUAUGGAAGCUUGCUUCCACUGAGAAGAUAGUGGCGAACGGGUGAGUAACACGUGGGUAACCUGCCCAUAAGAGGGGGAUAACAUCCGGAAACGGGUGCUAAUACCGCAUAGUUUUCUUGAUCGCAUGAUUGAGAAAGGAAAGACGGCCUUUGUGCUGUCGCUUAUGGAUGGACCCGCGGCGUAUUAGUUAGUUGGUGAGGUAACGGCUCACCAAGACGAUGAUACGUAGCUGACCUGAGAGGGUGAUCGGCCACAUUGGGACUGAGACACGGCCCAAACUCCUACGGGAGGCAGCAGUAGGGAAUCUUCCGCAAUGGACGAAAGUCUGACGGAGCAACGCCGCGUGAGUGAAGAAGGUUUUCGGACCGUAAAACUCUGUUGUCAGAGAAGAACAAGUCGGAGAGUAACUGCUCCGGCCUUGACGGUAUCUGACCAGAAAGCCACGGCUAACUACGUGCCAGCAGCCGCCGUAACAC
rnacentral:rRNA from 1 species